rnacentral:lncRNA from 11 species
AUUUACCCAUCUUGUCAUGGUGAGGUUGCUUGUGUGUUCCAAUAAAUUGCAGGUGUAACCAUCGCAACCAUGUACUCCCAAGGAGGGGUCGCAGAAGAGGUUCCAGACUGAGCACAAUCUAAACACCUCAACGGUGGAUCAGGUGGAAGACAACAUGAUAAAUGUUACAACAGCAGUGGAGACGGAAGAAGGCUGCAACAGACUGAGAAGCCACCAUUGUCAUGUUAACCAUGCCACUGGUUGGGACCCUCACUCUGUGAAGACUGUGUUUUGAUCAGCUGUGUACAGACCUCCAUACAUUAAAACAAACUCUCAAACAGGUAUCUUCCAAGGCUGCCUUCUACCUGGAAACCAAUGCCUCACUAUGGAAGAACAUGCGGGCCAAGAAUAGGGCGCCAUAAUCACCUACCUAUCCACCGCCAAGACACUACACUUGGAAGCCAUCAUACUUCGACAACAAGGGAUCGCCUAAAAAAGGAGGUACACUAUGGAGGUUAAAGAAUCUGCGGUGACCAACUGGACUUUCUGUUAUAAAGAAAGCGAAACACAACAAUGGAAGAGACAGCUGAG